ACAAUGAAGAGUUUGAUCCUGGCUCAGGAUGAACGCUAGCGGCAGGCCUAACACAUGCAAGUCGAACGGUAACAUGGAUUGCUUGCAAUCUGAUGACGAGUGGCGCACGGGUGCGUAACGCGUAUGCAAUCUACCUUUUACAGGAGAAUAGCCCAGAGAAAUUUGGAAUAAUGCUCCAUAAUAUCAUUUAUCAGCAUUGGUUUAUGAUUAAAGCUCCGGCGGUAAAAGAUGAGCAUGCGUUCUAUUAGCUAGUAGGUGAGGUAACGGCUCACCUAGGCUACGAUAGAUAGGGGCCCUGAGAGGGGGAUCCCCCACACUGGUACUGAGACACGGACCAGACUCCUACGGGAGGCAGCAGUGAGGAAUAUUGGACAAUGGAGGAAACUCUGAUCCAGCCAUGCCGCGUGCAGGAUGACUGCCCUAUGGGUUGUAAACUGCUUUUAUAUAGGAAGAAACACUCCCACGUGUGGGGGCUUGACGGUACUAUAUGAAUAAGGAUCGGCUAACUCCGUGCCAGCAGCCGCGGUAAUACGGAGGAUCCAAGCGUUAUCCGGAAUCAUUGGGUUUAAAGGGUCCGCAGGCGGCCUGUUAAGUCAGAGGUGAAAUCCUACAGCUCAACUGUAGAACUGCCUUUGAUACUGAUAGGCUUGAGUUAUUGUGAAGUGGUUAGAAUGUGUGGUGUAGCGGUGAAAUGCUUAGAUAUCACACAGAAUACCCAUUGCGAAGGCAGAUCACUAACAAUAUACUGACGCUCAUGGACGAAAGCGUGGGGAGCGAACGGGAUUAGAUACCCCGGUAGUCCACGCCGUAAACGAUGGAUACUAACUGUUCGACCUUCGGGUUGAGUGGUCAAGCGAAAGUGAUAAGUAUCCCACCUGGGGAGUACGCUCGCAAGAGUGAAACUCAAAGGAAUUGACGGGGGCCCGCACAAGCGGUGGAGCAUGUGGUUUAAUUCGAUGAUACGCGAGGAACCUUACCAGGGCUUAAAUGUAGUGGGACAGGUCUAGAGAUAGACCCUUCUUCGGACUCAUUACAAGGUGCUGCAUGGUUGUCGUCAGCUCGUGCCGUGAGGUGUCAGGUUAAGUCCUAUAACGAGCGCAACCCCUAUCGUUAGUUGCCAGCGGGUAAUGCCGGGAACUCUAGCGAAACUGCCGGUGCAAACCGUGAGGAAGGUGGGGAUGACGUCAAAUCAUCACGGCCCUUACGUCCUGGGCUACACACGUGCUACAAUGGUCGGUACAGAGAGCAGCCACUACGCGAGUAGGAGCGAAUCUUCAAAACCGAUCUCAGUUCGGAUCGCAGUCUGCAACUCGACUGCGUGAAGCUGGAAUCGCUAGUAAUCGGAUAUCAGCCAUGAUCCGGUGAAUACGUUCCCGGGCCUUGUACACACCGCCCGUCAAACCAUGGAAGCUGGGGGUGCCUGAAGUUCGUGACCGCAAGGAGCGACCUAGGGUAAAACUGGUGACUGGGGUUAAGUCGUAACAAGGUAGCCGUACCGGAAGGUGCGGCUGGAACACCUCCUUU
rnacentral:rRNA from 1 species